CCGAGUUUACAACUCCCAAACCCCUGUGAACACAUACCUAUACGUUGCCUCGGCGGAUCAGCCCGCGCCCCCGUAAACAAGGGGGACGGCCCGCCCGAGGACCCCCUAAACUCUGUUUUUUAGUGCGAACUUCUGAGGUAAAACACAACAAAUAAAUCA
rnacentral:misc_RNA from 1 species